rnacentral:rRNA from 1 species
UUUAAUUGAAGAGUUUGAUCAUGGCUCAGAUUGAACGCUGGCGGCAGGCUUAACACAUGCAAGUCGAGCGCUAGCUCUUGCUGACGAGCGGACGGGUCUGGGAAACUGCCUGAUGGAGGAUAACUACUGGAAACGGUAGCUAAUACCGCAUAACGUCGCAAGACCAAAGGGGACCUUCGGGCCUCUUGCCAUCAGAUGUGCCCAGAUGGGAUUAGCUAGUAGGUGGGGUAAUGGCUCACCUAGGCGACGAUCCCCUGGUCUGAGAGGAUGACCAGCCACACUGGAACUGAGACACGGUCCAGACUCCUGGGAGGCAGCAGUGGGAAUAUUGCACAAUGGGCGCAAGCCUGAUGCAGCCAUGCCGCGUGUGAAGAAGGCCUUCGGGUUGUAAAGCACUUUCAGCGAGGAGGAAGGUGGUGACUUAAUACGCUCAUCAAUUGACGUUACUCGCAGAAGAAGCUUGUGCCAGCAGCCGCGGUAAUACGGAGGGUGCAAGCGUUAAUCGGAAUUACUGGGCGUAAAGCGCACGCAGGCGGUUUGUUAAGUCAGAUGUGAAAUCCCCGGGCUCAACACGGGAACUGCAUUUGAAACAAGCUAGAGUCUCGUAGAGGGGUAGAAUUCAGUGUAGCGGUGAAAUGCGUAGAGAUCUGGAGGAAUACCGGUGGCGAAGGCGGCCCCUGGACGAAGACUGACGCUCAGGUGCGAAAGCGUGGGAGCAAACAGGAUUAGAUACACGGUGAUGUCGAUUUGGAGGUUGUGCCCUUGAGAAACGCGUUAAAUCGACCGCCGGGGAGUACGGCCGCAAGGUUAAAACUCAAAUGAAUUGACGGGGCCCGCACAAGCGGUGGAGCAUGUGGUUUAAUUCGAUGCAACGCGAAGAACCUUACCUACUCUUGACAUCCAGAGAACUUAGCAGAGAUGCUGGUGCCUUCGGGAACUCUGAGACAGGUGCUGCAUGGCUGUCGUCAGCUCGUGUUGUGAAAUGUUGGGUUAAGUCCCGCAACGAGCGCAACCCUUAUCCUUUGUUGCCAGCGGUUCGGCCGGGAACUCAAAGAGACUGCCAGUGAUAAACUGGAGGAAGGUGGGGAUGACGUCAAGUCAUCAUGGCCCUUACGAGUAGGGCUACACGUGCUACAAUGGCGUAUACAAAGAGAAGCGACCUCGCGAGAGCAAGCGGACCUCAUAAAGUAUGUCGUAGUCCGGAUUGGAGUCUGCAACUCGACUCCAUGAAGUCGGAAUCGCUAGUAAUCGUAGAUCAGAAUGCUACGGUGAAUACGUUCCCGGGCCUUGUACACACCGCCCGUCACACCAUGGGAGUGGGUUGCAAAAGAAGUAGGUAGCUUAACCUUCGGGAGGGCGCUUACCACUUUGUGAUUCAUGACUGGGGUGAAGUCGUAACAAGGUAACCGUAGGGGAACCUGCGGUUGGAUCACCUCCUUACCUAAAGA